GAUGAAGAACGUAGCGAAAUGCGAUAAGUAAUGUGAAUUGCAGAAUUCCGUGAAUCAUCGAAUCUUUGAACGCACAUUGCGCCCCCUGGUAUUCCGGGGGGCAUGCCUGUUCGAGCGUCAUUACAACCCUCAAGCUCAGCUUGGUGUUGGGCCCCGCCGCCCCGGCGGGCCCUAAAGUCAGUGGCGGUGCCGUCCGGCUCCGAGCGUAGUAAUUCUUCUCGCUCUGGAGGUCCGGUCGUGUGCUCGCCAGCAACCCCCAAUUUUUUUCAGGUUGACCUCGGAUCAGGUAGGGAUACCCGCUGAACUUAAGCAUAUCAAUAAGCGGAGGA
rnacentral:misc_RNA from 1 species